UCGUUGUCCCUGAGACCCUUAACCUGUGACUACUUUAAAGGUCACAGGUGAGGACCUUGGGAACAAGG
rnacentral:pre_miRNA from 8 species